GCCAAAUAACUUCUCAUUUAAAGGCAAUUUGUAGAAAUAGGAAAGUUUAGAAGUCUCACGUUCACCAAAGGAUUGAAGAGUGUUUAAAAAGCCAAGAUCAGGCAUUUUAUGGAUGGAAGAGCUUGCGUGUCCCAUUGACCAGAGGAAAUCGAAACUCCAAGAAUAAGCUGCCCAAGUGAACACAGCCUCAGUGGGGAAGCUGCCUUUAAGAUACAAGCUAUUUCUCCGAAGCACUUACUUGCAGAUGUGUGGUUAACUUUGCACCCCUGCAAAGGGGAACCCAUCCCUGCAAAUCACAAACACUCAGUGGUUGAGAGUCUGCCUACUAAUGCAGGGGACACGGGUUCGAGCCCUGGUCUGGGAAGAUCCCACAUGCCGCGGAGCGACUGGGCCCGUGAGCCACAAUUACUGAGCCUGCGCAUCUGGAGCCUAUGCUCCGCAACAAGAGAGGCCGCGACAGUGAGAGGCCCGCGCACCGCGAUGAAGAGUGGCCCCCGCUCGCCACAACUGGAGAAAGCCCUCGCACAGAAACGAAGACCCAACACAGCCAAAAAUAAAUAAAUAAAUAAUUAAAAAAAAAAAAGAGGUUAAACGAUUAGCUGUAAUUAUACAAUUAGUGAUUAACUAAAAUUCAAGUUCAAAUCUUCUUAUUCCACAUCCCAUGUUCUCCUUGCUACACCAACAACGUUACAGAUGCUAAGGCUCAUGUUACAUUUUCCUUCCUAAAAGCAUUUUCCAUUUCAGCUGUGUUCUCUUUUCCUAGGGUCGGGAAGUAGGGAAUGUGCUCAUUUAAAAGAAAAAAUCCAGGUUAUAGAUUAUUUGUUUAUCAUUUACAUACUUUACACUAUACUUUCUACUCUAUGCUAAGUACUAUAUAUCAUAUAAUAUAUAUUACGUAUCUAAUUUUUCUAAAGACAGAAAGUUCUGACAUCUUGGUUUGAUUUUUGUUU